GCCGCUGCUUUAAAAUGGCGGCACCUCCUGCUGCUUCAGUGCGCAUGAUGGUGACGUCAGUCAUCUUCCUGUGGAUGCCCGGAAGCGACGCCGUCCGUGAUGGCGGCGGGGAGGAGGGCGCUGCCGAGCGGCCGGACCCUGCUCUGCCGGGGAUGACCCGCCGCCCCCCGCCCUGAUGGCGUCGGGCGCCACGAGCCGCUCCGAGGACGAGGAGUCUCUGGCGGGACAGAAGCGGGGCUCAGCGCCCGCCGCGGGCACCGUCCCCAAGCGCCGCAGCUCCUCCCGGUUCAUCAAGCGGAAGAAGUUCGACGAUGAGCUGGUGGAGAGCAGCCUGGCCAAGCCCUCCAGCCGCGCCAAGGGCGCCGGGGGCGCCGAGCCCGCGCGCGGCUCGGGGAGCGAGCCCUCCUCGGGCGAGAAGAAGAAGGUCGCCAAGGCGGUGGCCGCCCCCGCGGCACCCAGCCCCGCGCCCCCCCACCCCGGCCUGGCCAAGCGCGUGAAGAAGAGCAAGCAGCCCCCCCCGGUCACCAAGGACUUGGGGCGCUGGAAGCCGGCGGACGACCUGCUGCUCAUCAACGCCGUGCUGCAGACCAACGACUUGACCUCGGUGCACCUGGGGGUGAAGUUCAGCUGCCGCUUCAACCUGCGGGAGAUCCAGGAGCGCUGGUACGCGCUGCUCUACGACCCCGUCAUCUCCAAGCUGGCGUGCCAGGCCAUGCGGCAGCUGCACCCCGAGGCCAUCGCCGCCAUCCAGAGCAAAGUGCUCUUCAGCAAAGCCGAGGAGCAGCUGCUCACUAAGGUGGGAUCGAGCAGCCAGCCCACGCUCGACACCUUCCAGGAGCUGCUGCACAAGCACCCCGACGUCUUCUACCCGUCGCGCACGGCCAAGGCGCUGCAGCUGCACUGGCAGCUCAUGAAGCAGUAUUACCUGCUGGACGACCAGACCGUGCAGCCGCUGCCCAAGGGCGACCAGGUGCUGAACUUCUCGGACGCCGAGGACGCGCUCGAUGACAGCAAACUCAAGGACGUGCGGGACGAGGUGCUGGAGCACGCCCCCCUUGUCCCCCCCAGAGCUGACGGUGGCCGACAGGCGCCAGAAACGGGAGAUCCGGCAGCUGGAGCAGGAGCUGCACAAGUGGCAGGUGCUGGUCGACAGCAUCACCGGCAUGAGCUCCCCAGAUUUCGACAGCCAGACGCUGGCUGUGCUGCGGGGCCGCAUGGUGCGCUACCUCAUGCGCUCCCGCGAGAUCACGCUGGGCAGAGCCACGAAGGACAAUCAGAUCGACGUGGACCUGGCGCUGGAGGGGCCGGCCUGGAAGAUCUCGCGCAAGCAGGGCGUGAUUAAGCUGAAGAACAACGGGGAUUUCUUCAUUGCUAACGAGGGCCGGCGCCCCAUCUACAUUGACGGGCGCCCCGUGCUCGGCGGCAACAAGUGGAAGCUCAACAACAACUCGGUGGUGGAGAUCGCCAGCCUCCGCUUCGUGUUCCUCAUCAACCAGGACCUCAUCGCCCUCAUCAAGGCGGAGGCGGCCAAGCUGGCGCAGCAGUGACCCAGGGACAAGGGGGGGUCCCCAUGGGGACCCCCAGCUCCUCCAGGUGCCCCCCCAGCUCCUCAGUGCUCGUUCUGGGCAAAUGGGGCAGAGUGGAGCACAAUUCCUGAAUUUUUAAAAGCUCCAUGUUUGGGUUUGAUUUAAUUAAUUUGUUCAAUUGAUUCAGGAAAAGUUUAAUUAGAGAGGGAAAGAAAAAAUAACCCCCGUGGGAAAAAAGUUGGGAGGGCAGCGCCGGCCCCCCCUUGAAUUGUGAGCGUGGCCCCCCCUGCUCCUUCAUCGCUGGAAGGGAAGGGGGAGGAGGACGAGCGGGGCUGCAGGGAACGGAACAAAACAAUAUGAAGAGAUUUUGAAUAAAAUAAAGAGACUCCCAGGAAAAUAAA